rnacentral:lncRNA from 1 species
UAGCUGAUCAAACACAGUCUAGUGGGUUUAAUACGGGAAUUACUGGAUUAAAUUCAAAGGUUCCCAAUAUUAUCGGUUGUCCUCAUUCCUGACAAGUAAACACACUUCUCCACAGAGUUUUCUGCCCUGUGCCUUCAGGCUAUACGUGGAUGUCUCUCAGAGGUGACCUAGGAGUUGGAAGCGCUCCAGAGAGUGCUCUGGAGCUCUUUCCUGGAAGAGCAAAGUCCUGACCCUGAAGGCCUCACUUUUGAACCUCCCAGACAAGCCAGAUUUACUGAUGCCGUU